rnacentral:rRNA from 1 species
GAUUAACGCUAGCGGCAGGCCUAACACAUGCAAGUCGAGGGGUAACAGGUGUAGCAAUACAUGCUGACGACCGGCGCACGGGUGAGUAACGCGUAUGCAACCUACCUUUAACAGGAAGAUAGCCCCGAGAAAUCGGGAUUAAUACUCCAUAAUGAUUAAGAACUGCAUGGUUUUUAAUUUAAAGUUCCGACGGUUAAAGAUGGGCAUGCGUGACAUUAGCUAGUUGGUGAGGUAACGGCUCACCAAGGCUACGAUGGUUAGGGGGUCGU